CAGGACAUUCCUCUUGGUCUGCUUUUAGUGAGAAAACUCCUGGUUCCCUUCUAAAUCUAGUUAAAUAUAUACUCACCAAAAAUGUAGAUAGAUUAAUUAAACCUCUCUAAAGUUGUUUGUUUUGAUCUCUUUAUAGGGGAAAAUCCAUGAAUUCAUUACUGAGCUAGGACUUGCAGACUUGAGCUUUUAUCUUGAAGUCUAUCAUAAGCCUACUGCAUAACAUAAGCAUUUCAUUACCUUGUGCCACAGUUACCCUAUUUAUAAAGUAGGAUAAUAAUGCUGCUUACUUUGUAAAAUGUUUUGAGAUCUGUGGAUUCUAUGAAAGGAUUAGUUUGUAUUACUGUCAGCAAACCUACCUAUAUUAAUCAAACCCCCAGUAAUACCAGCUGUCAUCUGAAAAUUUGGUUUUAAUUCUUUAAAUAAGGUCAGUUGUCUGUUGGUCUGCAAACAGUAUGUCUCAGAAGCCACUCCUUUACUUGCUUGCUGCAACUGCAUGUUGUUGUUUUCCCCCUCUCCUGUUUCUGAGAAAUCCUCCAUUCAAUAUUAGUGAGUCAGACAACUGUUUCCCAAACAAUCUUUGAAUGAUGGCUUUGUAAGCAGUUAAGUGAAAAGAGAAAUCUGCUGUGCAAAGCUUCUUUGUUUAUUAUUUUUGCUGACUGGCUGAAAGUGAGGUCAUAGUAAGCUCAAAGGGAUGGAUAUAAAUGAAAUAAUUAAACCGGAAAAUACAUCUUCAGAAAGAUGAUACAAAAAAAUGCCAUGUUUACUAAUCUUGCAUUCAUAUCUCCCAAAUUAUAAUAGCUGUCAUUAAAAGAUGAUUAUAUAUACAUGAAAGUAUGUAUCUUUUCCAGAUUUAUGCAACUGAGGCAUAUUACUACUGUGGUUUUGCAUGAAAAUGCAUCAAGGUAUUCUCAGAUAACCAUAAGUUGGUUAUGGCUGCCUGGAAGUCCUGGUCUGAUACAUUAUGGAGCCUCACAAAAUCCUCCUGCUACAACAGCAAGAACUUUCCUUCUGUGUAAGCUGUCCCAGGAAGAUGACACCAGUAUCUAACAAAAAAG
rnacentral:lncRNA from 1 species